AGCCUCGUUCCAAGAAGGCAGUGCCUCAAGAGAGUGACAAUUUGGAUUGGGGCCAAGACAUUUCGGCUUCAUCAUGCACGGCGGCCAAUCAGCAGCUUCGGGAUGCGGCCAGAGAAGUCUCAACAGAGGCAGAAGACAAAAGAAGCCAUUUGCAACAUGACAAGCAGCAAGAAGAGG